CGGGGUGUAGCGCAGCCUGGUAGCGCACCUGAAUGGGGUUCAGGUGGUCGGAGGUUCAAAUCCUCCCACCCCGACCA
rnacentral:tRNA from 1 species